AGUGCAGUACCUUCGUAAAAGGUCUGAGUGAGGGACAGAACCAGUGUGUGAGUCUGAACCCUCUGACACCUACCCAGGAUGUUUUAUUUCACAUUUUAAUACGUGACUCAGAGGCUUUAAAAGCGAAGGAGCAAGAGCCAAGCUGCCGUCCCCACUGGGGAGACAGCCCUCAAAGAAGAAAAAGGCAAAACUGGGCUCUCUCUCACUGGCUCCCUCUGUCUCCUCUGCAACCAGGUCCAGCGGCAGAGCGGAGGGGGGGAAGCUGCUCAGGCUGUGGACUUGGCUAUCACUAGAGGCCGGGAUCACAUCUUCCGUCGCACCCCAAACCAGACACUGACCAGCCAGAGGUACGGAACAGGACCGAAGCAUGUUCCUUCACAGAGACAAACAUCGGACUCCAGGAUGCAUGCGCCCUGACCAGGGCCUGGCAUAGGGAGGAGCCUGCAACUGAGUGGAGGAAACUGCAGCCUGGAGAAGUGAAGGAAAUGACUUAACACAUGGCGGACCAGUAGUUUUAUUGCUAGCUUUGCCCAGUGGCCAGAACACUUAUCUUGGAGACCCAGCCACCAUGUUUUGAGGCAGCCCAACCUAGCCCACAUGGAGAGAUACCGUGGAUAGGCCCGAAUGGGAAGAACUGAGGCCGCCCCCCGCUGACAGCCAGCAUCAACCACCAGGUAGAUGCCCUGUGCGCAUCUAUAAGGAGAGUCCUUUCCUGGAAGGGAGCGCCAGAGGUUGUGGACAAGGCCUGGGCCUUAUCUUCUGAGAGCUUUCCGUGUAGCCGGUUAGACUAACGAAGAUUCUCAGCUAAAACCAACACAAGCCACAGGUUCCAGUGAAGUCCUGUGGUCAGCCUGGAGGAGGCAGAGUCUGAAGGAAGUGCCUGCCACUGUCCAGAGGAGGAGUAGCCCAGUCAUUUACAAGGAGCCUUCCCCUGCCAAAGUGGAGCCUCAGGGUAAUGUUCGCGGGAGGCUUGCUCUCUAGGAAGGCUGGAGCAGUGAGAGGCGCCACGUGGAGGGUGGUGAUGGCUACUACUGCCUGUGGCACCUGGCACAGAACAGCUGUCAGCUCUUCAACAGACACUCACCAAGCACUCGGGAGACUAGGAAAGUCCUAGAUAAGGCCUUUGAGCUUGAGGAGUUUACAGACAAGUGAGAGAGACAAGUCAUGCCAUUUCCCCCUAUUUAUUCAUUCAUUCAUUAAAUACAAGGUUCUCCUCCUCCUCCUUCUCCUUCUUCUUUUUGGUGCCUCCUGUUUCAGGCACUGUGUGAGGCACUGAGAGGUUCAGCGAUGAACUAGGCGACCCGACUAGAGAACAAAUUGGCCUCUAGUCAGGUAGGCAAGCCUGGGAUUAUGUGGUACAACUGUGAAUUCCACAGGCUUUCCACAAGAGAGGCAAAAAUCACUGUGGUCUCUUUUUCACUGUGGUAAGAGCAAUUACCGCUGCCUGCUUCCUCUCCUGUCCCCUACAGUCUAUUCUCAAGACGGCAGCCAGAGUAAUCCUGGUAACAUAGGCCAGUUCCUGAAAGGCCUCUGCUAAAUGGCUCCCUCUAAUGGCUUCCCUUCUCAUUCUAAGUCAAUUCACCGUUCUCAGACGGUCCUACAAGGCUCUGCUGCAAUGGUCGAAGGAUUGGAAAGCCAACUAGGGAGUGAAGGCAACUCAAAAAUUAUCAACAGUGUUAAAGAACAAAAUUUAACAGUAAAUUUGAAGAUAACUGGCUUUAUUAAGCAAUUCAUGAAUCGCCAGACGGGUGCUCAGAUGAGUUAUACAAAAUAGUGGGUUUUUAUAGGAAGAAAGAAGAGGGGACUAAAUUAAGAGUGGAUUAUUUCAGACAAAGAUGCCAUACCCUAGAGCAGGGCUUUUCAACUUUUCCAUCUCAUGGCACACAUAAACUAAUUACUAAAAUUCUGGGCACAA